rnacentral:rRNA from 1 species
UUAUAGNACGAGCAUAAGUCGUAACAUAGUANAUGUACCGGAAGGUGUAUCUAGGAAUAUAUUU